GACGAACGCUGGCGGCGUGCUUAACACAUGCAAGUCGAGCGGUAAGGCCCUUUCGGGGGUACGACGAGCGGCGAACGGGUGAGUAACACGUGGGUGACCUGCCCUCAGCUCUGGGAUAAGCCUGGGAAACCGGGUCUAAUACUGGAUAUGACUCCAUGACGCAUGUUGUGGGGUGGAAAGCCUUGUGCGGCUGAGGAUGGGCCCGCGGCCUAUCAGCUUGUUGGUGGGGUGAGGCCUACCAAGGCGACGACGGGUAGCCGGCCUGAGAGGGCGACCGGCCACACUGGGACUGAGACACGGCCCAGACUCCUACGGGAGGCAGCAGUGGGGAAUCUUGCGCAAUGGGUGAAAGCCUGACGCAGCGACGCCGCGUGAGGGAAGAAGGCCUGCGGGUU
rnacentral:rRNA from 1 species